rnacentral:rRNA from 1 species
CCUACGGGCGGCAGCAGUGAGGAAUAUUGGUCAAUGGACGAGAGUCUGAACCAGCCAAGUAGCGUGAAGGAUGACUGCCCUAUGGGUUGUAAACUUCUUUUAUAUGGGAAUAAAAUGUUCCACGUGUGGGAUUUUGUAUGUACCAUAUGAAUAAGGAUCGGCUAACUCCGUGCCAGCAGCCGCGGUAAUACGGAGGAUCCGAGCGUUAUCCGGAUUUAUUGGGUUUAAAGGGAGCGUAGGUGGAUUGUUAAGUCAGUUGUGAAAGUUUGCGGCUCAACCGUAAAAUUGCAGUUGAAACUGGCAGUCUUGAGUACAGUAGAGGUGGGCGGAAUUCGUGGUGUAGCGGUGAAAUGCUUAGAUAUCACGAAGAACUCCGAUUGCGAAGGCAGUUCACUGGACUGCAACUGACACUGAGGCUCAAAAGUGUGGGUAUCAAACAGGAUUAGAUACCCGUGUAGUC